AGAAAUGGAAGGGGCUCCGUUUCUCCUCCCACUUCGCUGAAGGGGCGCUGCGCAGUUUUCCCUCUCUGUGCUUCGCCUCUUCAGUGAAGCGGCAGGAGAAGUGGGGCCCCUUCCAUUUCU